rnacentral:rRNA from 1 species
GACGAACGCUGGCGGCGUGGAUUAGGCAUGCAAGUCGAGCGGCAAGGAAUCUUCGGAUUCCCUAGAGCGGCGAACGGGUGAGUAACACGUGAACAAUCUGUCCCUACAUUCCGGAUAAUUGGAAGAAAUUCCUUGUAAUACGGGGGAGGAUUCCUCAUUGGCAUCUUUGAGGAAAGGAAGGCGCAAGCCGUGCAGGGAGGAGUUCGCGGCCUAUCAGGUAGUUGGUGAGGUAAUGGCCCACCAAGCCUACGACGGGUAGCUGGUCUGAGAGGAUGGUCAGCCACAUUGGAACUGAGACACUGUCCAGACUCCUACGGGAGGCUGCAGUCGAGAAUCUUGGGCAAUGCACGAAAGUGUGACCCAGCGACGCCGCGUGAAGGAUGAAGGCCCUCUGGGUCGUAAACUUCGUUUAAGGGGAAGAACGGGCGAUUGCCUCUUGACGGUACCCUUGAAUAAGGACCGGCUAACUACGUGCCAGCAGCCG